GGAAUAUUGGACAAUGGGCGCAAGCCUGCUCCAGCAAUGCCGCGUGAGUGAUGAAGGCCCUAGGGUUGUAAAGCUCUUUUACCCGAGAUGAUAAUGACAGUAUCGGGAGAAUCAGCCACGGCUAACUCCGUGCCAGCAGCCGCGGUAAUACGGAGGGGCCUAGCGUUGUUCGGAAUUAAUGGGCGUAAAGCGCACGUAGGCGGCGAUUUAAGUCAGAGGUGAAAGCCCGGGGCUCAACCCCGGAACUGCCUUUGAGACUGGAUUGCUAGAAUCACGGAGAGGUGGGUGGAAUUCCGAGUGUAGAGGUGAAAUUCGUAGAUAUUCGGAAGAACACCAGUGGCGAAGGCGGCCCACUGGACGUGUAUUGACGCUGAGGUGCGAAAGCGUGGGGAGCAAAC
rnacentral:rRNA from 1 species